rnacentral:rRNA from 1 species
ACGUGGUUUAAUUCGAUGCAAACCGAAGAACCUUACCUGGGUUUUGACAUGUGCGUGUUACUGAGGUGAAAGCCGAGGGACCAUAUCUUCGGAUGUGGAGCGUACACAGGUGCUGCAUGGCUGUCGUCAGCUCGUGUUGUGAAAUGUUGGGUUAAGUCCCGCAACGAGCGCAACCCUUAUCCUUUGUUGCCAGCGGUCCGGCCGGGAACUCAAAGGAGACUGCCAGUGGUAAACUGGAGGAAGGUGGGGAUGACGUCAAGUCAUCAUGGCCCUUACGACCAGGGCUACACACGUGCUACAAUGGCGCAUACAAAGAGAAGCGACCUCGCGAGAGCAAGCGGACCUCAUAAAGUGCGUCGUAGUCCGGAUUGGAGUCUGCAACUCGACUCCAUGAAGCCGGAAUCGCUAGUAAUCGUGGAUCAGCAUGCCACGGUGAAUACGUUCCCGGGCCUU